GAGUUUGUCGGUUGGUCGGGCUUCACUGUCCGCACUGGCCUGAUGGAUUCUUACCUUCUGAAUAACCGGCAUGCUAUUAAGUUAGUGCGUUGGGGAAGCAGAGCUAUUACCUUGAAAAAAUUAGAGUGCUUAAAGCAGGCUUUUGCUUGAAUAGAUUAGCAUGGAAUAAUAAAAUAGGACGUGCGGUUCUAUUUUGUUGGUUUCUAGGAUCACCGUA
rnacentral:rRNA from 1 species